rnacentral:rRNA from 1 species
UACAGAGGUCUCAAGCGUUGUUCGGAUUCAUUGGGCGUAAAGGGUGCGUAGGCGGCGCGGUAAGUCGGGUGUGAAAUCUCGGAGCUUAACUCCGAAACUGCAUUCGAUACUGCCGUGCUUGAGGACUGGAGAGGAGACUGGAAUUUACGGUGUAGCGGUGAAAUGCGUAGAUAUCGUAAGGAAGACCAGUGGCGAAGGCGGGUCUCUGGACAGUUCCUGACGCUGAGGCACGAAGGCCCAGGGGGAGCAAACGGG